AUUGAACGCUGGCGGCAUGCUUUACACAUGCAAGUCGAACGGCAGCACAGGGAGCUUGCUCCCGGGUGGCGAGUGGCGCGACGGGUGAGUAAUACAUCGGAACGUGUCCUGUUGGUGGGGGAUAACUGCUCGAAAGGGUGGCUAAUACCGCAUGAGACCUGAGGGUGAAAGCGGGGGAUCGCAAGACCUCGCGCAAUUGGAGCGGCCGAUGCCCGAUUAGCUAGUUGGUGAGGUAAAGGCUCACCAAGGCGACGAUCGGUAGCUGGUCUGAGAGGACGACCAGCCACACUGGGACUGAGACACGGCCCAGACUCCUACGGGAGGCAGCAGUGGGGAAUUUUGGACAAUGGGGGCAACCCUGAUCCAGCCAUGCCGCGUGCAGGAUGAAGGCCUUCGGGUUGUAAACUGCUUUUGUCAGGGACGAAAAGGACCGUGUUAAUACCAUGGUCUGCUGACGGUACCUGAAGAAUAAGCACCGGCUAACUACGUG
rnacentral:rRNA from 1 species